UCUGCGUGGCUAACUUUUUUUGAUUGUGUCAGAGAAUGUGAAAUGUAUUUAUAUUCCAUUGAUGAGACUCAGGAAUAAAUAAAUAAAUAUAACCAGACAGGUAAAAUAGCGAAUGAGCAACCUGAAACAGUUUCCCAGAUAGGUCUGCGCUGGAUGUAGAUUUGCAUUUCCCAGUCCCCAGCUCUCUGCUGCCCUCGUGCUGUGUCACUGCCUCACUCCUGCAUGAAACAAAAAGGGUUCAAAACCUCUCCUGCUGUUUUCAGCCUCCUUCUCCACUCACAGGAAACCUAGCAGGUUUUGAGCCUGGUGUGCAAGGGUGGUAGGCACUGCAGGAGCACGCUGACCUUUCAGGAUGCAGGAUGCCAUGGAGUUUAAAUGGAGAAGACAGAAGAAGACUGGGCUGGAAAACAGCAACAACAGAAGAUGGAAACAUAUCCUUAAUCUUGUGUAGCAAACCAGAUUUGGUGCAGGAAGGCGAUACCAGCUUUGUGAUUAUUUAACCAAACACUUCCUGUAGACCUGAGAGCAAGGUUUUAAUAUGUACAGAAUCAUGUGAAUAGGGAGCCAAAGUGGUCAAGAAAGCUUUUCUUUUUAACAUUUUGAAUCUAAAAUUACUUGGACAUUACUGUAGUCAUUAGAUUCAAAAUUUUGUAGGGAAUGUAAGAGUAGAAGAAUGUGUAUCAUCUAGGUGUCAUAUUACUCAUAGUUUUAAGAAAAUAACAAAUAUUUAUUGAAAAAGAAUGCAUACAAGAUUAUGCAUAAUUCAUACAGAAUUGUAAAAGCUUUACCUUCCAAAGAUCAUGAUACAGGUAUUUGAAUAAUUUGAAAGUGUUCUACAAGAUAUAUGUUUCUAUAUUUUACGUUGUGUAAAAAAAUAAUAGAUACUUAAUACAUAGCUACUUAUGAUAGGUGGCUCAAACAUUAAAACCUACAUAUAAACAACUUUUAAAUGUGGAGGAAUAUUUUCUAUUUGAAUCACCAGAUUUAUCAGAGAUAUCAUGAUUUAGUUCUCAUGUGAAUCCAAAAUGAAAUUACUUCCCCUUAGGACUCAAAAGCAGUUUUUAAGGUGUUGUGAUGGAAACAUAAAAGCAGAAUUAAACUAGUAUGUUUUCUGCAUUGAGGGGCGGCAAAGUCACCGUGAUUUAAUGUGUCAUCUAAAGACAAUGAACAGACAUUUCCUACUGUAAAUGAUGACAUUGGGUCUCUCUUGAUGAUUUGGAUACCAGUGAAUGCUAAUCUCUGCAGAGAAUUUCCAUUCUGGGGCAUUUUCAGGAACUUCUAUAAUGAGGCUUAGUAGUUGUUGGUUGACUGAGGUACUUCACUUCUGGAGCCAUAUUUAAUCUCAAAUUAAGUAUGUACCUGGAUCUGGAAAACUAAAAUUUUGAAACUUGGCAAUUCAGAUUCAAGCUUUGCCUUCUUGCUGGUUUUGGCGUUUUUUCUAGUGUUGCUCUGGUAAAUUAUGAAGCACCAAAUAACUUGAUAAAAGUUGACAAAAUUCAGUGUUAAUAAUUUCAAACAGAAUCCACACCUACCUGCAAUUCAGAUUUAUGCACUAUGAAUAGUUGUAUUGAAGGGAACAGUGACAGCACCUGCCAGUUAUCAGGAAAAUGUUCUGACUUUCAAUUUUGUCAUUUCUUCAGUGCAGUCUGAGACACUGCUCAAUGCUUCUUCCAUCCUCAUCUUCAAUGUACUGUGGAGCACAUUGUACUGAGGAGUCUGAUGGCGCUGGGCAGAUGGAGCGGUGAUAUCAUUGGGCUUUUCCAUUUCUACUUCCUAUGAAUAUUUGCCUUAUUCUUACAUCUCAGCUCUUUCUCGACAUGUUUUAGACUAGAAACAUUUUUCUUUUUCAGGGGCAGAGAAGGAAUCACUUCUUUUUGAUUUCAGACAAGAUCUGGCAAGUGAGUUCUUGUUGGUAGUCAAAGAAAAAGCAUUAAAAAAAUUAACACAGAAUCUGUGUUUAGCAAAGUAAUUUGCAUAAGCUGUACACUUGGUUCUUAGAGUUGGAACAGUUCUAACCUAUGACAAAUUCCUCUGUCUGGGCUGUCUUCCAAAAUCAUUUUCAUCUACCCUGGCAAAAGAACUGAAGUCUGCGUUCUGCACUAAUUAACGGCCUUCAGGAGAAGGGCCCCAGUUGAAAUGCUGACACACUUUGUACACGCUUUAUUUGUGAAAGGGGAUACUGAGCCCAUUUGAUGGCGCCUCCUGCUCCAUCACGCUGUGCAAAAUUUUAAGUGGGGAAACAAAAUGGGUACAGUCAUGUCUUGUUAAGAUUCUGAGUCACUAAAACACUGUAGUUUUCCCCAUUAAAUAGUAUUAUACUGGGAAUUUCUUAUAUUUGAAUAACACUGAUAAGCAGAAGAAAGUCUAAAACCAUAGUUCAUCAGUGAAUAUGAAUUGUCAUUCACUACUUUUUAUGAAGUAUUAUGUCUUAACAUAGCUGAGACUCUAUCUCAGUAAAUAUCUUUGUUUUGGAAGCAGCAGAAUAUAUGUCAAAUGUCUCUUUUACAUAUAAAUGAAAACUGUUGGAAAAGGAAUUCAAGAAUAGCUGUCAUGAUAACAGUAUAGAGUUCUUCUAGGAGGUCUGCACAGUCCCAUAAGUAAGCUUUCCAUGCUAGAUCCAUAAAAGGAUUCAUAGCUUGUAGGCAUCCAAAGCGUUCAAAGGAAUGUAGAGUCCAUGAUCAAGCAAGGCACCCAGAAAAUAGCACAUGUGGAGAGUCAGGCAUACUGAAACGUGGCAUCCCCAAAAAACUUGGGAGACAUCUAGGUAGUCACCAAUAAAUGGGAGAUGGUGUAAUGUAAGAACCCUAUAGGAGAGUACCCAUCCCUGCUAGUGCUUCCCACCAAUGAGCUCUCUUCUGGAGACUUGCAUUUGAGCCAAGAAAGCUCUUGCUUGCAAGGUACAUACUACAAGAGAAACAGCCUGCAUUCAGUCCCACCUCUGUGUUGCUGUGAUUUCCAUCUUUUAGCCGAACAUCCUACCAUGGAGCUAUACGUUGAAAGGAGGCUUUCAUAGUUUUCUCUUCCAGAGAUGUUGACUCGAGUAUUUACCAUCUGCUUUGGAGAUAUGAAUACACACCUGCCUGGGUUGAAGAGAGAUCUGAACCUGGCUCUUGACCAUUUCAUGUGCCCAGCAUGAGCUAAGGAAAGAAAUUCCUUUUCUGGCUUGUCUGUAUGGAGCCUUACCUAGGAAGAGUGCUUUGAAAACAAUGAUCAGACUCAACUUUACAGCUGAACUAGAUGGAGAGCUCCUGUGGAGGCUAAUAGAACUUAACUAGGUUUCAGUGCAUUCACUCUGGUCAUGGAAUGGGUGCAGUGCAUCCCUCCAGCAGUAGAUUCAGAUGCUUAGUGAACUGUAGGAAAACACCUGGGAGAGUCAAGGACAUUUAUGUAUGGUGCUUUAGGAAUUUAAAGAAUCCCAGUCUCUGUCUUAGGCUUUCCUCCUUGCUCAUUUGUGAUGAGUGCAGAAAGGGAAAGAGGAAGAGCAAGGGGAUUUCUCUCUCAGACAUUCCUGCAGCAUUUUUCUCCUCAGACUUAACUCUGCUUGCCUGCUACAGCCCUCAGUAAACCAAUUCACUGUGAAACAGGAAUGCACUGAUUCUGUAGUCACUGAGACAGAUCCAGGAUUUUCCCUAGCAAAUAAACUAGCAAACAUAAUCAACAUUCUGUGUAAACCCUCAUCAUUACCUUAGGAAGAGAAACUUCAAAUUUAUUUUUCUAUGAACCUUAAAUGUGAAGUUUUCACCAGCACAAAUACUCCAAUAUUUCUCCUUCUUCUUGGGUACAGAGGACAGUUCUGUCUUGUUUUCGUCCCUAAAAGUAUUGACUGUGUUGAACACUAGACACGUGCUUUCAAAAGAAAAGCACCAUGAAUGCUUUCAUGUCCCUGUAUUAUCAGCCACGUGCUCCAUCACUGGGAGACAAAUGGUCCACUGAAAUGUGGCUGGCCAGGACGUUCUACAUACCAAGCAGAUGCAAGUAGAAUGCCAUAGGGAAAUAAGAAACACAUUGUAUGUGAUUUAAAAGGCUUACAGCUAUGGAAUAUCCUUCUGAAAGCUUAAUGAAUAUCUCCAACACAUACGCAAUCGAAAUACAAAACAGGCCGUGCAUCAGAAUAUAAAACCGCAGAACUGGAGAUAAUCUCUGAAGAGAGCCACAAAAUAAAUCCACUGACAGCAGCAUCUAUAAUCAUACAACCCCAGCAUUUGGCUUGUCAAAAUGUCUCCAAGAUCAGGAUUUUCUGUGGAGAGGAAACAGUCCAUAGAGAUUCUUUCUUAAUUUUAUGCCUUCUGUUUGCCACUCAAACUUGCUGGGUUUGGGGGUUUUCUUUGUUUUGCUUUCUUAGACACUAAUACAGCCCAGACUGAGUUUGACAAAGUUACUGAUUAUAAAUUCAGCAUUCUUGCCACAGGGCUGGAAAAGGACCAUUUAAACAGGCACUUGUUCAAGUAACUAAAAAUCCAAGCUUUUACAUAGUGACUUGAAAAGAUCUUUCUUCCUAAGGUUUAGAUCUUUAGUAGGAGAAUAUGUAGAAAAAAGGAGAAGGGAGAGGGGGAAAAUCUCUCA